GCUGUAUAAAAGUGUGCCUGGGUAUGGUCUCAAACAUAUCUCAUUGUAUAGCAUAUGAAAUGAAAACAAAACAAAACAAAAAGAAAACCUCUAAAAUGAGGUGCUUAUAGCAGUCCACAGACAACUCCAGCCACAUUCCAUCUGAAGAUCAGAGACAAAUCAUACCAGGUGGCAUCUGCUUCCGUUAAACUACACAUGUAGCUUGGAAGCAUCUUGAAUUUUGAGAGUAAAUCAAGAAAGAAGAAGACACUGAUUCAAGAAGAGGCCACCUAACAUAACAGAGGAAAAGCCGUGAGAGGAUGCAAUGAGACGCCAGCCCAUCUGAGAGCUAAGAAGAGAGCCCUCACUAGAAAUUAAACCCUGCCAGACUUUGACCUGAGACUUUUUAAAACUUCAGAAUUGUCAGAAAUAAAUUUCUGUUGUUUAAGCCACUCAAUCUACAGUAUUUUGUUAUGGAAACCUGAGCAACGUAAGAUACUAGUUCAUACUGAUUCUUGAGAGUCAAUGGUUAAAU
rnacentral:lncRNA from 10 species